GCGCCUGUAGCUCAACUGGAUAGAGUAUCAGAUUCCGAUUCUGGCGGUUGCAGGUUCGACCCCUGUCAGGCGCACCA
rnacentral:tRNA from 1 species